rnacentral:rRNA from 1 species
CUGCAACUACGCCUGCAUGAAGUUGGAAUUGCUAGUAAUCGCGAAUCAGAAUGUCGCGGUGAAUACGUUCCCGGGCCUUGUACACACCGCCCGUCACACCAUGAGAGUCGAUAACACCCGAAGCCUGUGAGCUAACCGCAAGGAGGCAGCAGUCGAAGGUGGGGUUGAUGAUUGGGGUGAAGUCGUAACAAGGUACC